rnacentral:rRNA from 1 species
AUUGAACGCCGGCGGCAGGCUUAACACAUGCAAGUCGAGCGGAGAUGAGGUGCUUGCACCUUAUCUUAGCGGCGGACGGGUGAGUAAUGCUUAGGAAUCUGCCUAUUAGUGGGGGACAACAUUCCGAAAGGAAUGCUAAUACCGCAUACGCCCUACGGGGGAAAGCAGGGGAUCUUCGGACCUUGCGCUAAUAGAUGAGCCUAAGUCGGAUUAGCUAGUUGGGGGGGUAAAGGGCUACCAAGGCGACGAUCUGUAGCGGGUCUGAGAGGAUGAUCGGCCACACUGGGACUGAGACACGGCCCAGACUCCUACGGGAGGUAGCAGUGGGGAAUAUUGGACAAUGGGCGGAAGCCUGAUCCAGCCAUGCCGCGUGUGUGAAGAAGGCCUUUUGGUUGUAAAGCACUUUAAGCGAGGAGGAGGCUACCUGGAUUAAUACUCUAGGAUAGUGGACGUUACUCGCAGAAUAAGCACCGGCUAACUCUGUGCCAGCAGCCGCCGUAAUAC